AACCUUUCUGGGGCUGGAGCACUUGUCAAGAGUAAACAGAAAAGGAAUAAAGCUUGCCUCUUUUUUUGAAAAACCCAGCUGGACAAUGGGCAUAUUCAAUGGCCAAGGCCUCCUCUAAUUGCUGGCUUGGGAAGAACUGGAGAUAACUCAGCAAUGGAGAGACAAGGAGGGCUCCUAGGGAACAACUUGGAGACCGAGGAAUCUUGCUGAAUGCCAGCAGAAAAUCUGGAAGCAGAGCCAGUAUAAUUCAGCAUUACUGAGCCCACUGAGCUCUCCAGGGAAGUAUAAAUUGAGCACAGAAGCUCUGAAAUGGAUUGUAACCACAACAUCAGAGGUUAUAAGACCCUCAUUCCAGAGUGGUACUGCCCUGCGUCUGGGAAGAAGGAAGGCCACACAGAGAGACCAAGAAGAAUCCUAACAGACAGGGCUUGCUUGGUUUCCCCCUCAGUCUCUUACCGUUAGAUCAGACCUCUUUGGUCCUACCACGUUUCUACAUGGCUGUCCAUUCUUCAUCGAAUCUAAGAAUAAAAAUGGAUAGUUUUCCCUGGGUCUUUGGGUCUUCAUUUCUGAAGGCUUCCUGUAUCAGAGACCCAGUUAACCAGCACACCGCUGGUGAGAAGGCUGGGAGAGCACGUGGAUAGCUGUGGAAGCAUUUACAAAUAGUAAAUUUCUUCUGGGGGAAAACUGAAGUCUUAAGUCAUAUACAUCCCAUCUGUUCACAUACCUCUAUUUCUAGUGAUGAAAAAAG
rnacentral:lncRNA from 1 species